rnacentral:lncRNA from 1 species
CUAUGGUGGUGACUGGAGGAGAUGGUAGUAGAGGACGAAGGGGUAGAGGAUCGCAAGGUGGGCGGUCCAGAUCCAAGUCGAGGGACUUCAGCAAGAUUCGAUUCUAUAAGUGUGAUGAGUUGGGAUAUCGAGUCAAAGAUUACCCAUAGCUCAAAGAUCAGACGAAGGCUACUGCAGUGACGGUCCAAGAUAGCGAUAUAAAAGAAAGUGAUGAUGUUCUUCAGGUGACUGAUGAGGU